UACGAAGGGUGCAAGCGUUACUCGGAAUUACUGGGCGUAAAGCGUGCGUAGGCGGUUUGUUAAGUCCGUUGUGAAAGCCCUGGGCUCAACCUGGGAAUUGCAGUGGAUACUGGCGAGCUAGAGUGCGGUAGAGGAUGGUGGAAUUCCCGGUGUAGCGGUGAAAUGCGUAGGGAUCGGGAGGAACACCCGUGGCGAAGGCGGCCAUCUGGACCAGCACUGACGCUGAGGCACGAAAGCGUGGGGAGCAAACAGG
rnacentral:rRNA from 1 species